CAGUGCUAAUUCCUGAGGUAAAAGUGUUCAUUACUUGCUAGCUUCAUAAGCUUUGUAGCUCCAGUGCUAAUUCCUGAGUUCAGCAGUUGAUUGAUUUGGGACAGAAGAUGAAAGAAACUCAAAGUGGUCAAAAAACGAUAAAAGAAGAAGCAGAAAAACAAAUUAACGGUACAGCUACUAUAUAUAUUUAUAUCAUAGAAAUAGUAUAAUAUAUGAAUGCCAAUGUUUUUAUUUCGAUCAUUUUAUUCAUGAUCUGGUUUCUAGAUCUUAAACAACAGCUGCAGAAAAAGGAGGAGGACGUUUCUAAACUGAAGCAGAGUAAUACAGAUCUUAAAGAGCAGGUGAAGAACAAGGAUAAGGACGUUUCACAGCUGAACAAUGAAAAAGCAGCUCUGAAUGCAGAACUGGGAAAGAAGAAGGAGGAGCUAAUCAAAGCCGAAAAGGAGGUGAAGGUUAAGGAGGAGGCCAUCGAUAACGUGAAAAAGGAGCUCAAGACCAAAGAGGAGGAGAUCAAGGGUGGAUGCAGCGAAGUUAAAAAGAAGCUGAAGAGUAAGGAGGAGGAGGUUACUAAGCUGAAGGAAAGCCACAAAAGUAAGAUCUUUCAUUUCUCUGAUUAUAGAAGAAAAGCAUUUCAAUAUUUUACUGUUUAAACUAGU
rnacentral:lncRNA from 1 species